UAUUCAUGUUACUUUUAAAAUUUCUAUAAAAAAUUUUUUAUUAAAAAAGAAAAUAUAAUGAUAUAAAGAUGUGAAAUAUGCUCAUCACAGUCUGCUAGGUAAAAAAAAAAAAAAAAAAAAAAAGUGAUUAUGGGUAGAUGGGGCUAGGCAGGGAAAGAUAAGGGAAAGGCCCAGAGUCAGGCUCUCAAAAAUCUGUGGGCUUCCAUAAACCCGAAGGACACAGAAAGGCCCAGAGUCAGGCUCUUACCCAUCCCAAGAAAACAGAGAUAAGACAGUAAAAACAGAAAAAUAAUAAACCUGGCUCCCUAGCUCCAAAAUGAUAGGGAGUAUCUCCCUUUAAUGGCUACUAAGUAAUCAGAGAAACUCCCCAGACCACAAAGAAAUGCAUCCUUCGGGUGUAUCAAUAGUCCCUGCUCAAACCAAGACUGCACAAGAAUCUCAAGGCCAUGGGCUCCCUGGUUAGGCUCUCAGUAAGAGACUUCCACUAAAAGCCCUCAGUGGCAACCCUGUCAGGACCCCUCUCACUUCUCUGUAUCUCUGCUUAAUAAACUUCUAUCGCUUUGCUCACUCUGCUGUCCAUGAGAUCCAUUCUUUGACUCCGUGGGACAAGAACCUACCUCUUCUGCAUCAUUUUGGUGUUGAAACCUGGAUUACUACCACCAAAGGGCAGUAGAAAUAUCCUUUCAAAAAUGUCAAGAGCCAUCCUGCCAAGAUUAUCUCAUAGUGAUUUUUAUUAAGAUUGUAUUUUAUUUUUAAAUCAACACAAGGAAUGUUAAAAAUAUAUAUGACAUUAAGUAUUUCCACCCAUCCAUUCAAAUUUCUCUCUAUUUAAUCAAUAUACAAAAUUUAAAGAAAAAGGAAACCAAGUUGAUGAGUAUACUGAAAAUCAGGGGGGAAAAGGAAUUUGAAUUAAUUAAAGAAUAAAGGAGUCUUAAAACAGAAACGUCA
rnacentral:lncRNA from 12 species